rfam:Stegodyphus mimosarum contig105698, whole genome shotgun sequence.
GCCUUCGUGGUGCAGUGGUCAGCACGCUCGACGGGUAACCGAGAGGACCGUGGUUCAAUUCCCGGCAAAAGCG